rnacentral:lncRNA from 1 species
ACUAAUAGUUGGUCUCCUUUUUGUUAUCACAAUACACCUGCUGUUCUAAACAAUGCCAGUAAGAAAAUACUCAUCCAAAAAAAAAAAAAUCCUUGUUUUGCCUGAGUUCUAAAUAAUUACUACAGUUACUAUUAGGUUUUCAUAAUGUACGUGUAAGCUUUAAAUUAGCAAUUUUAAAAUUAUUUAUCUUUUAAUAAACAUUGUAUUCUACAUGGACGUUAACUUGGAGUACUCCGUUCUACAGUUGUACCCAGACACACACAGACCCAACUACCUGUGAUUUUUCUAGGGUUGAAACUUCCUAGCUCAUCAAAUACAACACAAUCCCAAUGGGAGAGAUUGAGGUUGGAUAUAUCUUCCAAAGAAUGCCACUUUCUAAAAAGGAUAGUGUUUCCACUGCAACAGUUUCAGUUCCCUGGAUAGAAUCUUCUGCUCAUGUCCACUUACAAGCAGAUUUUCUUCCAUCUCUGCCACUCCUGAGAUAGCAAGACCAACCCCUCCUCUUCCUCCUCAACCUACUCAAUGUGAAGAUGAUGAGGAUGAAGGCCUUUAUGAUGAUCCACUUCCACUUAAUGAAUAUGAAAAUCAAGAGGCUGGGCCUUGAAGCAUCUCAGCAAGCAUGACGUCCUCUACACCAUACCCUCUGGCCUGGGGUUCAGCAGUCUUCACCAUUCCCAUUCCCUGAACCCCUCAAAAUCAGGAAUACAGGGAAGUCAGAGGGAAUGACAGAUUCUUCCAAAUGAGAAGAAAAAAACAAGAGUAAACUAACGAUGUUCGUUUUACUAGCCCUGUCUAAGCAGGUAAAUGCACUUUUAGGAUUCUAGCUAAGGGAUUUUUUUUAAACAAUGAUAAAAUGAACAUAACAUAAAAUUUACUAUUUUAACCAUUUUUAAGUAUACAGUUCAAUGGUAUUAAGUAUAUUAAUAGUGUUGUGCAACCAUCACCAUCAUCUAUCUUCAGAACUUUCUCAUCCUCCCAAACAGAAAUACUGUACCCAUUAAAUAAUAUCUCCCCAUUCUCCUCAUACUCUUAGCUCCCCUGACAACCAACCACCUUCUCUACUUUCUGUCUCUGAACUUGACUCACAGGUACCUCAGUGGAAUCAUACAGUAUUUUUCCUUUUAUGACUGGAUUAUUUCUCUUAGCAUAAUAUCUUCAAGAUUCACGCAUGUUGUAGGAUAUGUCAGAAUUUCUUUCCUUUUUAAGGACAAAUAAUGUUCCAUUAUCUGUAUAUCCAAGGUUUGUCAUCCAUUCAUCAGUCAAUAGACAGUUGGGUUGCUUCUGCCUUUUGGCUUUUGUGAAUAAUGCUGCUAUGAAUACGGGUGUACAAAUAUUGCCUCAAGACCCUGCUUUCAAUUCUUUUGGUUAUAUACCGGGAGUAGCAUUGCUGGAUCACAAGGUCAUUCUAUUUAAAUUUUUUAGGAACUGCCAUACUGUUUUCCACAGUGGCUCCUCCAUUUUACAUCCCUAUCAAUAAUGCAUAGGGGUUCCAAAUUCUCCACAUCCUCAUCAACAUUUGUUAUUUUCCGUUGUUUUUUUUUUUUUU